UACGUAGGGUGCAAGCGUUAAUCGGAAUUACUGGGCGUAAAGCGUGCGCAGGCGGUUGUGCAAGACAGAUGUGAAAUCCCCGGGCUCAACCUGGGAAUUGCAUUUGUGACUGCACGGCUAGAGUGUGUCAGAGGGGGGUAGAAUUCCACGUGUAGCAGUGAAAUGCGUAGAGAUGUGGAGGAACACCGAUGGCGAAGGCAGCCCCCUGGGUUAACACUGACGCUCAGGCACGAAAGCGUGGGGAGCAAACAGG
rnacentral:rRNA from 1 species